rnacentral:lncRNA from 1 species
AUUUUAGGUGAUGUAAAAUCUACAUCCGCCAUCAAGAACAAAUUAAAAGUGGAUGUGACAACCACGCAGAGGGGUCAGCAGCCACAUCUGGAAAGUACUGCAGAGGUCAUGUUGUCCAACACUUUGCACCAACAGGUGGUGCCAUUUAAUGAGGACUAAUGUUGAGGACCACAUGUCAACCUAGGCAUCCAAAGGAGAUUCUCACAUCUUAGCCUGGGCCUAGGAUGGACAGUCUUUUGCUAGAGAUGACUCUCAACAAAGAUCUAA